rnacentral:lncRNA from 1 species
CAUGCAUAUGCAGAAGAAUAAGGGCAUUUCGUUCAAUGAGGCUGCUUAAAUUAAAGAGGUAAGGGGCAGUUCCUGUUUUCACAAAAUGGUUGCUGGCCAUGUCUUGUUAUGCAUAGACCUAGCCGUAUUGCAUAACCUAGUUCAAACUAGCACCAUUGUUGAGCCAUUAAAUGUAGUCUAUUUUUUAGAGCCAAAAUCUCUCUCUUUUCUUCUCUUUCCUAUUUUACAUCUCAAAACUGCUUUAAAGAGCCCAAACCAAAAAACCCAAUUUCUAUCUAAUGAAACCGUAAAAGAAUAAUUGCUAUAAUAUUGCUCGUUGCUUAUGUUUGCUUCUAGUCCAUAAAUGUAAUGAAUCAAGUCUAAUGAAAUUAAGUUUAAUCCUAUGAUUGUGUCACUGUUUUUUUUAAACCUUGC